rnacentral:rRNA from 1 species
GGGAAUAUUGGGCAAUGGGCGCAAGCCUGACCCAGCAACGCCGCGUGAAGGAAGAAGGCUUUCGGGUUGUAAACUUCUUUUAAGAGGGAAGAGCAGAAGACGGUACCUCUUGAAUAAGCCACGGCUAACUACGUGCCAGCAGCCGCGGUAAUACGUAGGUGGCAAGCGUUGUCCGGAUUUACUGGGUGUAAAGGGCGUGCAGCCGGGCUUACAAGUCAGAUGUGAAAUCCUGCGGCUCAACCGCAGAACUGCAUUUGAAACUGUAGGUCUUGAGUACUGGAGAGGCAGACGGAAUUCCUAGUGUAGCGGUGAAAUGCGUAGAUAUUAGGAGGAACACCAGUGGCGAAGGCGGUCUGCUGGACAGCAACUGACGGUGAGGCGCGAAAGCGUGGGGAGCAAACAGGA